AUUGAACGCUGGCGGCAUGCUUUACACAUGCAAGUCGAACGGUAACAGGGUGCUUGCACCGCUGACGAGUGGCGAACGGGUGAGUAAUGCGUCGGAACGUGCCGAGUAGUGGGGGAUAACGCAGCGAAAGUUGUGCUAAUACCGCAUACGUACUGAGGUAGAAAGUGGGGGACCUUCGGGCCUCACGCUAUUCGAGCGGCCGACGUCUGAUUAGCUAGUAGGUGAGGUGAAGGCUCACCUAGGCGACGGUCAGUAGCGGGUCUGAGAGGAUGAUCCGCCACACUGGGACUGAAACACGGCCCAGACUCCUACGGGAGGCAGCAGUGGGGAAUUUUGGACAAUGGGCGAAAGCCUGAUCCAGCCAUGCCGCGUGUCUGAAGAAGGCCUCCGGGUUGUAAAGGACUUUUGUCGGGGAGGAAAUCCCCAGCGUUAAUACCGCUGGGGGAUGACAGUACCUGAAGAAUAAGCACCGGCUAACUACGUGCCAGCCGCCGCGGUAACAC
rnacentral:rRNA from 1 species